UACGGGGGGGGCAAGCGUUGUUCGGAAUUACUGGGCGUAAAGGGCUUGUAGGUGGCCAACUAAGUCAGACGUGAAAUCCCUCGGCUUAACCGGGGAACUGCGUCUGAUACUGGAUGGCUUGAGUGUGGGAGAGGGAUGCGGAAUUCCAGGUGUAGCGGUGAAAUGCGUAGAUAUCUGGAGGAACACCGGUGGCGAAGGCGGCAUCCUGGACCAUUACUGACACUGAUAAGCGAAAGCCAGGGGAGCAAACGGG
rnacentral:rRNA from 1 species